rnacentral:rRNA from 1 species
AAUGAACGCUGGCGGCGCGCCUAAUACAUGCAAGUCGAGCGAGAAGACGUAGCAAUACGUUUGUAAAGCGGCGAACGGGUGAGGAAUACAUGGGUAACCUACCCUAGAGUGGGGAAUAACUAGCCGAAAGGUUAGCUAAUACCGCGUACGCUCCUUGGACUUCGGUUCAGGGAGGAAAGCGAUGCCGAGGGUAUCGCGCUCUUGGAUGGGCUCAUGUCCUAUCAGCUUGUUGGGAGGUAACGGCUCACCAAGGCUUCGACGGGUAGCUGGUCUGAGAGGACGAUCAGCCACACUGGCACUGCGACACGGGCCAGACUCCUACGGGAGGCAGCAGUAAGGAAUAUUGCGCAAUGGGCGAAAGCCUGACGCAGCGACGCCGCGUGGGGGAUGAAGGUCUUCGGAUUGUAAACCCCUUUCGGGAGGGAAGGAUGGAAUGGGGUAACCCGAUUCGGACGGUACCUCCAGAAGCAGCCACGGCUAAC